rnacentral:rRNA from 1 species
UACGUAGGGUGCAAGCGUUGUCCGGAAUUAUUGGGCGUAAAGAGCUCGUAGGUGGCCUGUCGCGUCGGCUGUGAAAACUCGGGGCUCAACUCCGAGCUUGCAGUCGAUACGGGCAGGCUAGAGUUCGGCAGGGGAGACUGGAAUUCCUGGUGUAGCGGUGAAAUGCGUAGAUAUCAGGAGGAACACCGGUGGCGAAGGCGGGUCUCUGGGCCGAUACUGACGCUGAGGAGCGAAAGCGUGGGGAGCGAACAGG